AUUCCCCCUGCUUUUAGGGCGAUACCUGCAAAAAUACGUUAGACGCCUCCGACGCUCAAUUUAGUAAUCAUGUGAAAGGGAAAAUGCAAUGCAUGACUUAGAUCAAUAUGGAGUCAAGAAUCCCGAGUUCACUACGAAUUCAGAAGAAGGACUCUUUCUCUAAAGGUUUUGUGAAGAUGUCGGCCAAUUGAUCUUUGGUUUC
rnacentral:lncRNA from 1 species